rnacentral:rRNA from 1 species
AGCGAACGCUGGCGGCGUGCCUAACACAUGCAAGUCGAACGUGAAAGGGAGCAAUCCCAAGUAAAGUGGCGUACGGGUGAGUAACACGUAGGUAAUCUACCCCAGAAUCUGGAAUAACCGGCCGAAAGGCUGGCUAAUACUGGAUAGAGCGACGGAAUCCGUAAUUGGGUUUUUCGGGAAAGGGAGCCUGUAAAAAGGCCUUCGUUCUGGGAUGAGCCUGCGUCCCAUCAGCUAGUUGGUGAGGUAAAAGCUUACCAAGGCACUGACGGGUAGCUGGUCUGAGAGGACGAUCAGCCACACUGGAACUGAAACACGGUCCAGACUCCUACGGGAGGCAGCAGUGGGGAAUCUUGCGCAAUGGACGAAAGUCUGACGCAGCAACGCCGCGUGAGUGAAGAAGGCCUUCGGGUUGUAAAGCUCUGUCGAGUGGGACGAAAAUGCUUGGAGUUCACAGCUCCAGGAACUGACGGUACCACUAAAGGAAGCACCGGCUAACUCCGUG